GGCCGGUGAUGUAUGAUAAUAUUUGCUACUCUUGAUGGCAUUUCUACGGAAAUGUCACUUGAUGAUUUAUUAUCCACCAAGAUCUCUGAGGUC
rnacentral:snoRNA from 1 species